CAAAAACACACAGCCGUCCCCUCCUGUGCGGGCCACAUGAGGUCUGUUAUUCCGCUGCUUUUGUAGCUGUUAAUAAGAAAAAAUGUCUUUCAGAACCCAUCUCUUUUGAUCCUGCCUCUGUCUGCACUCUGCACAAUGGCUCUCCUGUGGUCCGCACAGAUAAAAAGAGAGAGAACGAGCCAGGCUGAGAGAGAAAGGCAGGGGUCUCGGUGGUCCGGGCGGUGUUGCCGUCUCUGCGUGGAGGAGAGUUUGGGCUCUCGUGAUGAGCUCGUCUCGGGACUGACCUUUCACUCCGAUCGUGUCCGUCCAUUAUCAACGUCGCUGCUACUCGUCUAAUGGACGGGAACGUAAUAUCUCACCGAGGAGAGUACAGGACCGAGGAGGAACGGCGGCUAGAGAGACGAUAAAGCAUACAUCACUCUCAUCUCCCAUCUAAUAAACCUCCCCAUUACGACUAUUCAUUUAGAGGCAGCCCUGAUCCAAGGCAAAUAACCUAAUUAUCUGCUUCUACUGGAUCAUUAUUAUAAUCACAUAUUAUAAUCGUUAUUAUCUAUUUGCUUAGCGUUAGCGGAGGUGUUCACCCAGGCCGGCCUGCUAUACGUCUGUCUCGCACACACACACAUGCAGGAUAAGAUCAGGACUUUUCUGUUUGAUUAGUAAAAAUAGUCAUUUGUGAUUUGUGUGUGUGUGUAUGUGUGUGUGUGUGUGUGUGUGUGUGUGUGUGUGUGUGUGUGUAUGGCUACUCUGCAUUAGUGCUUAAUGGGAUGGUAGGUAACUGUGGCUGUAUGCUUGACCAUUAAGUGGUGACUGGUCAGGUUGUGGUCAGCUGGCAUUUGGGUUGAGCGAUACAGAGAGAGGGGGAUAUAGAGACAAUAAGACAGAGGAGAAGAGAGAGAGAGAGAAACACAGAAAGAGAUAGAUGGAUACAUAGAUAGACAGAAACAGAGACAGAAAGUGAGACAGAGAGGCAGUGGUGUGUUUUGUUCUGAUUGAAGCGAGGUUGACGCGUAGUACACUCUGAUAUAAACGAGGUUGACGUGUAGUACACUCUGAUAUGAGCGAGGUUGACGUGUAGUACACUCUGGUAUAAGCGAGGUUGACGUGUAGUACACUCUGAUAUGAGCGAGGUUGACGUGUAGUACACUCUGAUAUAAACGAGGUUGACGUGUAGUACACUCUGAUAUAAACGAGGUUGACGUGUAGUACACUUUGUAGCUGUAAUAACAACGCUGGUUGGUUGAUUAUGUCCCCAGCAGAAGAGAACUAUCACACAGAGAAGCGAAUGUUUAUUCAUUAACAUUACUCACUCUCCCAGCACGCUGCUCUACAUCUCCACUUUACACGUGCCUCUAAACUGCCACCUGAUUGGCUGGGUCAUGUCAAGCUGACCCGUCUUUCAAUCUUUAAAGCACUCUGUUCUGCCAGGAAUAAAUAAACAAAUAAAUAAAUAAAAGGACAAAAAAAUAUUCAGACUGUCGGUGUGUUACAAAUUGCCGAUGCUAGAGACCUCUGAUAAUUUUUUUUGGUCCCAAUUAAUUGUUGUUUUUCUAAUAAUAUAAUUUCUGAGCUAUUUGUUUAGAAAUAAAUCAAUUUUCUCGAGCAGAAAGCAAUAUCAUAAAGGUUUCAGCUUUUGCCACAUGCUGCUACUCACUGUUUGGCUAAACUAGCCGACUAGCCGCUGGUCAAAAUGUCACCAAAUCCCUGGGGAAAAAAAGAGAGAGUGGUUCAUUUGUUAGCCUCUCACCCCUCUCCAAACUAAUCACGUGCCAAAUUGAUAAAAUUAUCACACUUUUCCUUUUUGAAUUCAGCAGACGUACCAUGAAAUAUCAUUAGCGCCUCCAUCUGCGUGCGCGUCAUUACCUAUCCGAGCGUAGGAGGUUCGCGCUACGCUCGCUAUCGUCAAAAUCAUUGUUUUACCAGACGAAGCUAUGACAAGUCACCGGUAAAUUUAAUCUAAUGAUAUGCAAAUUUGGGAAAAAAAGACAAUUAGGGCUGCUCAGACUGAUGUUGGCAUGCGUGUCAGAGCGCAGCUCCACCGUCCCCCGAUCUGCGGAUGCGUAUGAAUCAGAUUAGCGGAAUAAUGAGAGCGAGAGAGAGCUUUAGCCUCGAGUGGCAUUUUCAUCCAGGCCUGUUCCAGUGCAGGAGGAAUUUCUGUAAAGGCUUAAUAAUCAGCUCGUGAUUCGCGUUUAUCUCAGACGGAGAGUGUUUUCUGGUCUACGAACGGUCGUUCACGUCCUAAUAUGCGCGAUCGAGCAAACACAAUGGUGCUUCUGAUCUCCUACGAGCAUUCCUGUCACGUUUGAUAAAUAGCACGGGCCGAGAUGUAAAUAAGCUCAUAAGCUUCUACUGUGAUAUCUGCAUAACUGAUCUAUAAAGCUUCACCGCUCCGGUGUACUCCUGAACGCAGACAUGCAGCGACACAGAGCGACUUUGUGUGACUUUUCCUGAACAGUGCGAACACGUUUAACACGGCGCUAACCUCCCACCUAACUCUCACCGUUAAUGCACAGAGACUGCCCGUUUUUCAUGUUACUGUACGUUUCUCUUGGCAGGUCAGUCAGGGCCUCUACUUUCUUCAAACCAGAAGUCAUUUUCUCAUUUCUCAUAAUUAAGAGUUAAUUGGGAGUGCACCUGUGGUUGUAUUUAAAGUGCUUACCUUUACAGCCAGUGCCUUUUAACCCUUGAUACCAUGAGACAAUCUGCGGACCUCCGCAAGUCCAGUUCCUCCUGAGAGGCAGGUACCACGGGCAUCUGUACAAACUUUGGCCCUAAAGAACAAGCUUUAGUCAAGUUAAGUUAAGGCUCUGUGUUACUGAUUAGAAGGUCGGGAGUUCAAGCCCCAGCACUGCCACAGUCUGGGUUGCUGAUCGGAAGGUCGGGAGUUCAAGCCCCAGCACUGCCACAGUCUGGGUUACUGAUCGGAAGGUCUGGGGUUCAAGCCCCAGCACUGCCACAGUCUGGGUUACUGAUCGGAAGGUCGGGGAUUCAAGCCCCAGCACUGCCACAGUCUGGGUUACUGAUCGGAAGCUCGGGGGUUCAAGCCCCAGCACUGCCACAGUCUGGGUUACUGAUCGGAAGGUCGGGGGUUCAAGCCCCAGCACUGCCACAGUCUGGGUUACUGAUCGGAAGCUCGGGGGUUCAAGCCCCGGCACUACCACAGUCUGGGUUACUGAUCGGUAGAUCCAGCACUGCCAAGCUGCCACUGUUGUGCCCUUAACCCUCUCUGCUCCAGGGGCGCUGUAUCAUGGCUGACCCUGUGCACUGACCCCAACCUCCUGACAUGCUGGAGGAAAGAAUGACAUGUGAAGAAAAGAAUUUCACUUUGCACAUGCAUAGGUGAUCAGUAAAGACUUUUACCCUAUCCAGUAAAGACUCAUUUCCAUUAUCCUUAGUCCUAAAGGUUCGACUGAACCCCUAGACAACAAAGGAACUGGUGACGGAACUGGAGGCAUCAAGUACCCAAAUAUGUACAGCCACCUUUAAGAGAUUCUUACAUCGCUAUGUCCUGAGAGGCUGUACGGAAGAAGCCACUACUCCAAGACAGGCAUUUGCAUUAGAUCAGCAGCAUUUCCUCAGGUCAAAUAAAACAUAAUGGGCCAUAAUGAUCAAUUGUGAAGCAUGGGGGUGGCAGCAUCAUGUUAUGGGGAUGUUUUGCUCGGAAAGGGGCUGGUGCAUUUAUAUAAAGUAUAACCUCAAGACAUAAGACAGAAAGUUAAAACUUGGGUCUUCCAGCAGAACAGUGAUCCUAAGCAUACGUCCCACGCUGUAAC
ensembl:lncRNA